rnacentral:rRNA from 1 species
AUAUGUGGCCAAACCUCCUUGUCAAGGCCUGAUCUCAUUUGCUCUCAAAAACUAAGCAGGACUAGGCCUGGUUAGUACUUGGAUGGGAGACCGCUGGAAAUUCCAGGUGCCACGGUG